AGGAGGAGUAGCAGCAGGACCAGUCCGACGCCGGCGGCUCCGGAUCCGGCGAGGAGGCGGGAGGGGGCGACGCGGAGGAGGAGGUCGACGAGGAGGAGAUCGAGGCCGUCACCACCGGCGCGGGCGACGACGAGGAGGAGCAGGAGGACGGCGGGGAAGAGGACGGGGAGGAGCCGGAGUCCGACGACGACGACGAGGCCGAAGACCCUGUUGGAAUUCCAGAGGUAGGGAAGCAAGAACGAGCCAGGCUCAAACAACUUCAGAAACUGAAGAAGCAGAAGAUCCGAGAGAUAUUACAGACCCAGAAUGCUGCAAUUGAUGCUGACAUGAACAAGAAAGGGAAAGGGCGAUUGAAGUACCUGCUGCAGCAGACAGAAAUAUUUGCCCACUUUGCAGAAGGAAGCCAGACUAAAGAGAAGAAGUCGCGUGGAAGGUGAUUCUUGGUUAUGUUUUUUUUUUAAAAGCAAUCCUUGGUUAUGUUAGUG